rnacentral:rRNA from 1 species
AGAGUUUGAUCCUGGCUCAGGAUGAACGCUAGCGAUAGGCCUAACACAUGCAAGUCGAGGGGCAGCACAUGAGUAGCAAUACGAUGGUGGCGACCGGCGCACGGGUGAGUAACACGUAUGCAACCUACCUCUAACAGGGGGAUAACCCGUUGAAAGACGGACUAAUACCCCAUAAUACAGGGGCACCGCAUGGUGAUAUUUGUUAAAGAUUUUAUCGGUUGUAGAUGGGCAUGCGCAUGAUUAGCUAGUUGGGGAGGUAACGGCUUCCCAAGGCGACGAUCAUUAGGGGUUCUGAGAGGAAGGUCCCCCACACUGGAACUGAGACACGGUCCAGACUCCUACGGGAGGCAGCAGUGAGGAAUAUUGGUCAAUGGGCGAUAGCCUGAACCAGCCACGUCGCGUGCAGGAAGACUGUCUUAUGGAUUGUAAACUGCUUUUUCGGUAGAGUAAAGUGCGUCACGUGUGACGUAUUGCAAGUAUACCGGGAAUAAGGAUCGGCUAACUCCGUGCCAGCAGCCGCGGUAAUACGGAGGAUCCGAGCGUUAUCCGGAUUUAUUGGGUUUAAAGGGUACGUAGGCGGGGCGUAUAAGUCAGCGGUGAAAUUUUGCAGCUUAACUGCAAGCUUGCCGUUGAAACUAUCGUUCUUGAGUGUAGAUGAGGUAGGCGGAAUGUGUUGUGUAGCGGUGAAAUGCAUAGAUAUAACACAGAACCCCGAUUGCGAAGGCAGCUUACCGGGUUAUCACUGACGCUGAGGUACGACAGCGUGGGGAUCAAACAGGAUUAGAUACCCUGGUAGUCCACGCCGUAAACGAUGAAUACUCGCUGUUUGCGAUAUAGGGCAAGCGGCCAAGCGAAAGCAUUAAGUAUUCCACCUGGGGAGUACGUUCGCAAGAAUGAAACUCAAAGGAAUUGACGG